rnacentral:lncRNA from 1 species
GUGGGGUUGGGGGCAGGGGACAGAGGCAGGGAGGAAAGACGCCAUAAUCUUAGAAUGGCCUCUUAACAUCCAGCUGUAUUACAAACAAGAGCCAAGUUUCAUCCUCAUACAGCACCACCUGAGACCCAGACUAACAGCCUCUGGACCACCUCAUACGCCCGAACAACUACGUAUUUUACGGACUAGGAACCUGCAUGCCCCUGCUAUUACUUUUAAACCUUGUUGGGACGCUAAGGUGGGAGAGUGAAAACACCUCCUCAGCCCUGGCCCCUGCCAUCAGCACGCCACCACCUGGCACCAGACAGCUCCAGCUCCCAGAUGCGCUGUCCCCGGGUGGCCUCUGCGGGAAUCCUAGGUGAGGGAUGGGAUUACGAAACCCUAAACCACUCUGGCCUCGUGCGAAUCCCCGAAGACCAGCGGCUCCCUCCCGAAGGCCGCGCACCCCCGGGGCCUUUGCGCCUCCGCGUCAAUUUGCAUCCCCAACAAAGGCAUACUGCGCUGAUCCCCGAGAACUGCGAGUAUUAAUAAUCGUAAAAGACCCGGCGAUUACAAAAAGAGAAAGUGCUAAAUGUCAGAAACUGGGAAGAUUUUUAAAAGGCAACGCACCGAAUCCAAGUCUGUACUUUAACUUUUUUAAUAACGAUUUUUUUUUUUCUGGGCUGGAAGCUCGCACCGAAUCCUGGAGGAAUUGCUAAAUCAGAUUAAGGUUAUAUUUUGCAACAGACUGGAUGGAGCAAUAAAGGAGAGCGCGCGGAAAUGGGACUUCACCCAUCAAUUAGAUCUCUAUUAGCAGCCAAUGCAGGCUUCACCACAGGAAAUGUCACAUCCCUGCCCAGGCGGACCUCUUCGUUCCCCACCCCCAGCUCUCACCUCCCCUCUCCCCUAGAGUUAAACUCUUCGGGAACACACAUUGAAGCCAAACAAAUCUCUUUAUUUGGACGAGGGGUUUGGUUUUGUUUUUGUUUUUCUUCCCAGUCUUGUUUUGGAACCCGGCGCCACCUGCCUCCACCACCACCAGCACAGCGCCCUAACCCCGGGACACUCCGGCCCUGGCUGGCUGAACAGGUUGCAGCGCGACACCUGCGCUGUCUGCUGGGUCGCUCAGGACCGCAGUGCGGGGGACUGGUGCGCUGGGCCUUAUUAAUAUUAAAAGCUUUAUGACGGUCCUGAGCAGUCCAUAAUGAAAGGUGUUCUCUCCCUCAAUGGAAGAUGUGUGCAGUCCCGGCCCAGAGACUAGUGUCCUGCACCCAGAUUCCCCACUCCAUAACUCCAGAUGCUGGAAUCCAACUCUGAUG